UACGUAGGGUGCGAGCGUUGUCCGGAUUUAUUGGGCGUAAAGAGCUCGUAGGCGGUUUGUCGCGUCGGCCGUGAAAUCUCCACGCUUAACGUGGAGCGUGCGGUCGAUACGGGCAGACUUGAGUUCGGUAGGGGAGACUGGAAUUCCUGGUGUAGCGGUGAAAUGCGCAGAUAUCAGGAGGAACACCGAUGGCGAAGGCGGGUCUCUGGGCCGAUACUGACGCUGAGGAGCGAAAGCGUGGGGAGCGAACAGG
rnacentral:rRNA from 1 species